rnacentral:rRNA from 1 species
UACAGAGGGCUCAAGCGUUGUUCGGAUUCAUUGGGCGUAAAGGGUGCGUAGGCGGUCGGGUAAGUCGGUUGUGAAAUCUCAGGGCUCAACCCUGAAACUGCAUUCGAUACUGCCUGGCUAGGGUACUGGAGAGGAGACUGGAAUUUACGGUGUAGCAGUGAAAUGCGUAGAUAUCGGAAGGAAGACCAGUGGCGAAGGCGAGUCUCUGGACAGUUCCUGACACUGAGGCACGAAGGCCAGGGGAGCAAACGGG